UGUGCCUUGGUGCUAGCACCUUAUCUGUGGGGAAGAGAGUACCAAAGGCUGACUUCUGGGUGAGUGGGGAUGUGGUGCUCCUGCAGUCCUUUCUGGCCCACUUCCUCACUGUCACCCACCCAUCCAACCUCCUCACACUCGCUGCUCUGUGCCUUGUCUCUAGUGCUCUCUCUGCUCCUCUCCUUCACCAAUCUGUCCUAGAGCUCAGAGACUGCUUCCUCCGUGGGGCCUUCCCUGACUCUACUGCACUUGAACUUCCCUCUCCUCUGAUCCAUGAUGGCCUUUUUAGUCUGCUUUUCACAGUGGGCACUUGGGCUUACAAUGUCAUCUUCCUAUGUAGUUAUAACCUUUCUUUCUUACACAAACAUGCAAUGUUAGAGCUACAAGGGAUUGUAGAUACAUUCUCCUGUCUGCCUCCUUCAAUGUGCAGGCUAGGAUAUUGAGGCCCAGGGGGCUUAGGUGACCUUCACCGGGGGAUGCAGCAGAUCAGAGAAGAAAAGUCAGGUUCCUAGCUUCAAGUCCAGGGCUGAUUCCAAUUCUCCCUCAUUCUUAGAAUUUUAUACAGUAUGCCACCCUAGGCCAGGGCUGCUUUAAUAAAUUACCACAAACUUGCUACCUUAAAACAACAAGAAUUUAUUCUCUCACAGUUCUAGAGGCUAAAAGUUCAAAGUCAAGAUGUUGGCAAGGUCACGCUCCCUCUGGAGGCAUAGGGAAGAAUCUUCUCUUGCCUCUGCCAGCACCUGAUGGUUCCUGGCAUUCUUCUGUUUGUGGCAGCCUAACUCCAAACCUCUGCCUCUGUCUUCACAUGAGCUUCGUCUCUGUCUGUCAUCCCUUUUUCUGUCUCCUCCAUCAUUGGAUUUAGGACCCACUCUAGUCCAGAUGGUUUCAGCUCCGAAUCUUUACCUUAUUUACAUCUGCAAAGACCUUUAUUCAAAAUAAGUUCACAUUCUAAGGUUUUGGGUGGACAUAUCUUUGGGGAACCACCAUUCAACCCACUAGAGCGCGAAAUACAGCAAAAACACAGUAGUACAUGCUCAUUCUUGACGGAUGGUAGCACUGCUGAGUGUAUAACCAGGCCAGUUAGCCAACUAUAGGAAGGUUCUGUGGAGGUUAUUAGGUUUUUUUGUUUUUUUUUUUUUUCAGGAAGAUUAGCCCUGAGCUAACAUCUGCUGCCAAUCCUCCUCUUUUUGCUGAGGAAGACUGGCCCUGAGCUAAUAUCAGUGCCCAUCUUCCUCUAUGUUAUACGUGGGACGCCUACCACAGCAUAGCUUGCCAAGUGGUGCCAUGUCUGCACCCGGGAUCCGAACCGGUGAACACCAGGCCGCCAAAGAGGAAUGUGCGCACUUAACCACUGCACCACCGGGCUGGCCCAGUGCACGUGGAGCCCAAGAUGCUCAUCACUCCUCACUUCUGCAAUGAAAGACCAGUUGCAUACCUUCCAAGGCCUAGAGACCGUUGAAUGUGAGCUCCAUGGGAACCGAGAUGUUUUCUGUUUUCAACCUGCUGUAUCCCCACUGGCUUGCACAGCACCUGGCCCUUCGUGAAAGCUCAAGACAUAUUUGUUCAAUAAAUUGUUGAAUGGCUGUGGCGAUCAGGCUAAUACUUGUUUGAGUCUGAGAAGCAGUGAGGUGUAGCCAGGAAAGAGCUGAACUAGAAGUCAAGAAAUCCAGGUUCACCUUCCGCCUCUGUCAUCAGCCACCACAUACCUCACUCCUACCAUCUGUAAGGUUGGAUGUGUGGAGGAGUGGAGAUGGUUGGGAGUCCAUGAUGUCUGUCUGGACAAACAGACUGAGCUAUCCUUACGCAGAUGGUGAGCUCAGCACUGACUUGAGGGUCUUGCAGGCCAGCAUGGACACAACAUAAGCAGUCAACAUGUCUGUCGCCUCGAUGUCUAUCGACAUGGGC
ensembl:lncRNA